GUUAUAUGGUCAAGUGAAGAAGCGCAUACGGUGGAUGCCUUGGCAGUCAGAGGCGAUGAAAGACGUGGUAGCCUGCGAAAAGCUUCGGGGAGUCGGCAAACAGACUUUGAUCCGGAGAUGUCUGAAUGGGGGAACCCAGCCAUCAUAAGAUGGUUAUCUUGUACUGAAUACAUAGGUGCAAGAGGCGAACCAGGGGAACUGAAACAUCUAAGUACCCUGAGGAAAAGAAAUCAACCGAGAUUCCCUUAGUAGUGGCGAGCGAACGGGGACUAGCCCUUAAGUGGCUUUGAGAUUAGCGGAACGCUCUGGAAAGUGCGGCCAUAGUGGGUGAUAGCCCUGUACGCGAAAAUCUCUUGGUCAUGAAAUCGAGUAGGACGGGGCACGAGAAACCUUGUCUGAAUAUGGGGGGACCAUCCUCCAAGGCUAAAUACUACUGACUGACCGAUAGUGAACUAGUACCGUGAGGGAAAGGCGAAAAGAACCCCGGAGAGGGGAGUGAAAUAGAUCCUGAAACCGUAUGCGUACAAGCAGUGGGAGCCCACUUUGUUGGGUGACUGCGUACCUUUUGUAUAAUGGGUCAGCGACUUAUUUUCAGUGGCGAGCUUAACCGAAUAGGGGAGGCGUAGCGAAAGCGAGUCUUAAUAGGGCGUCUAGUCGCUGGGAAUAGACCCGAAACCGGGCGAUCUAUCCAUGGGCAGGUUGAAGGUUGGGUAACACUAACUGGAGGACCGAACCGACUACCGUUGAAAAGUUAGCGGAUGACCUGUGGAUCGGAGUGAAAGGCUAAUCAAGCUCGGAGAUAGCUGGUUCUCCUCGAAAGCUAUUUAGGUAGCGCCUCAUGUAUCACUGUAGGGGGUAGAGCACUGUUUCGGCUAGGGGGUCAUCCCGACUUACCAAACCGAUGCAAACUCCGAAUACCUACAAGUGCCGAGCAUGGGAGACACACGGCGGGUGCUAACGUCCGUCGUGAAAAGGGAAACAACCCAGACCGUCAGCUAAGGUCCCAAAGUCAUGGUUAAGUGGGAAACGAUGUGGGAAGGCUUAGACAGCUAGGAGGUUGGCUUAGAAGCAGCCACCCUUUAAAGAAAGCGUAAUAGCUCACUAGUCGAGUCGGCCUGCGCGGAAGAUGUAACGGGGCUCAAACCAUGCACCGAAGCUACGGGUAUCACUUAGGUGAUGCGGUAGAGGAGCGUUCUGUAAGCCUGUGAAGGUGAGUUGAGAAGCUUGCUGGAGGUAUCAGAAGUGCGAAUGCUGACAUGAGUAACGACAAUGGGUGUGAAAAACACCCACGCCGAAAGACCAAGGUUUCCUGCGCAACGUUAAUCGACGCAGGGUUAGUCGGUCCCUAAGGCGAGGCUGAAAAGCGUAGUCGAUGGAAAACAGGUUAAUAUUCCUGUACUUCUGGUUAUUGCGAUGGAGGGACGGAGAAGGCUAGGCCAGCUUGGCGUUGGUUGUCCAAGUUUAAGGUGGUAGGCUGAGAUCUUAGGUAAAUCCGGGAUCUUAAGGCCGAGAGCUGAUGACGAGUUGCCAUUAGGCGACGAAGUGGUUGAUGCCAUGCUUCCAAGAAAAGCUUCUAAGCUUCAGGUAACCAGGAACCGUACCCCAAACCGACACAGGUGGUUGGGUAGAGAAUACCAAGGCGCUUGAGAGAACUCGGGUGAAGGAACUAGGCAAAAUGGCACCGUAACUUCGGGAGAAGGUGCGCCGGUGAGGGUGAAGGACUUGCUCCGUAAGCCCAUGCCGGUCGAAGAUACCAGGCCGCUGCGACUGUUUAUUAAAAACACAGCACUCUGCAAACACGAAAGUGGACGUAUAGGGUGUGACGCCUGCCCGGUGCCGGAAGGUUAAUUGAUGGGGUUAGCUAACGCGAAGCUCUUGAUCGAAGCCCCGGUAAACGGCGGCCGUAACUAUAACGGUCCUAAGGUAGCGAAAUUCCUUGUCGGGUAAGUUCCGACCUGCACGAAUGGCGUAACGAUGGCGGCGCUGUCUCCACCCGAGACUCAGUGAAAUUGAAAUCGCUGUGAAGAUGCAGUGUAUCCGCGGCUAGACGGAAAGACCCCGUGAACCUUUACUAUAGCUUUGCACUGGACUUUGAAUUUGCUUGUGUAGGAUAGGUGGGAGGCUUUGAAGCGUGGACGCCAGUUCGCGUGGAGCCAACCUUGAAAUACCACCCUGGCAACUUUGAGGUUCUAACUCAGGUCCGUUAUCCGGAUCGAGGACAGUGUAUGGUGGGUAGUUUGACUGGGGCGGUCUCCUCCUAAAGAGUAACGGAGGAGUACGAAGGUGCGCUCAGACCGGUCGGAAAUCGGUCGUAGAGUAUAAAGGCAAAAGCGCGCUUGACUGCGAGACAGACACGUCGAGCAGGUACGAAAGUAGGUCUUAGUGAUCCGGUGGUUCUGUAUGGAAGGGCCAUCGCUCAACGGAUAAAAGGUACUCCGGGGAUAACAGGCUGAUACCGCCCAAGAGUUCAUAUCGACGGCGGUGUUUGGCACCUCGAUGUCGGCUCAUCACAUCCUGGGGCUGAAGCCGGUCCCAAGGGUAUGGCUGUUCGCCAUUUAAAGUGGUACGCGAGCUGGGUUUAGAACGUCGUGAGACAGUUCGGUCCCUAUCUGCCGUGGACGUUUGAGAUUUGAGAGGGGCUGCUCCUAGUACGAGAGGACCGGAGUGGACGAACCUCUGGUGUUCCGGUUGUCACGCCAGUGGCAUUGCCGGGUAGCUAUGUUCGGGAAAGAUAACCGCUGAAAGCAUCUAAGCGGGAAACUUGCCUCAAGAUGAGAUCUCACUGGAACCUUGAGUUCCCUGAAGGGCCGUCGAAGACUACGACGUUGAUAGGUUGGGUGUGUAAGCGCUGUGAGGCGUUGAGCUAACCAAUACUAAUUGCCCGUGAGGCUUGACCAUAUAACACCCAAGCAAUU
rnacentral:rRNA from 1 species